AUUCCAGCUCCAAUAGCGUAUAUUAAAGUUGUUGCGGUUAAAAAGCUCGUAGUUGGAUUUCUGCUGAGGACGACCGGUCCGCCCUCUGGGUGAGUAUCUGGCUCGGCCUGGGCAUCUUCUUGGAGAGCGUAGCUGCACUUGACUGUGUGGUGCGGUAUCCAGGACUUUUACUUUGAGGAAAUUAGAGUGUUUCAAGCAGGCACACGCCUUGAAUACAUUAGCAUGGAAUAAUAAGAUAGGACCUUGGUUCUAUUUUGUUGGUUUCUAGAGCUGAGGUAAUGAUUAAUAGGGAUAGUCAGGGGCACUCGUAUUCCGCCGAGAGAGGUGAAAUUCCCAGACCAGCGGAAGACGAACUACUGCGAAAGCAUUUACCAAGGAUGUUUUCAUCA
rnacentral:rRNA from 1 species